rnacentral:rRNA from 1 species
ACGCUCGACACCUACGGGAGGCAGCAGUGAAGAAUAUUGCGCAAUGGGGGCAACCCUGACGCAGCAACGCCGCGUGAAGGAUGAAGGUUUUCGGAUUGUAAACUUCUUUUGUCAAGGACGAAGGACGUGACGGUACUUGACGAAUAAGCCACGGCUAACUACGUGCCAACAGCCGCGGUAAUCUGAGCGGGCUGGCAAGGC